GACGAACGCUGGCGGCGUGCUUAACACAUGCAAGUCGAGCGGUAAGGCCCUUUCGGGGGUACACGAGCGGCGAACGGGUGAGUAACACGUGGGUGACCUGCCCUCGGCUCUGGGAUAAGCCUGGGAAACCGGGUCUAAUACCGGAUAUGACUCCAUGACGCAUGUUGUGGGGUGGAAAGCCUUGUGCGGCUGAGGAUGGGCCCGCGGCCUAUCAGCUUGUUGGUGGGGGUGAUGGCCUACCAAGGCGACGACGGGUAGCCGGCCUGAGAGGGCGACCGGCCACACUGGGACUGAGACACGGCCCAGACUCCUACGGGAGGCAGCAGUGGGGAAUCUUGCGCAAUGGGCGAAAGCCUGACGCAGCGACGCCGCGUGAGGGAUGACGGCCU
rnacentral:rRNA from 1 species